UUUUAAGAGCAGGUUAGACAAACACCUGUCAGGGAUAGUCUAGAUAAUACUUAGUCCUGCCAUGAGUGCAGGGGACUGGCCUAAAUGACCUCUGGAGGUCCCUUCCAGUCUUAUGAGACUAUGAUUCACUUUAACAGCAAAAAUACUUAAUUUUCAAGUUUAACACUUUAGGCUUGAAAGUACAAUGAUAGCCCUUGAUUUAUCUCUUUUAAAUACAGGAUUCCUGCUUUCACUAACCAGUCACAAUUCUUUGUUAAGAUAAAGAGGGAAUUUUGGUGAGAUUAGUUUUAAAUUGAAAAAGCAUUAUAGUCUUAAUUGUGGGGUUUGAGGUGAUUAGUAAAAAUGUUUUGAAAUACUGCAGGCAGAUACCACGAAACAGCUGAGCUUCAAGUGUUUCAUUAAGAUUUCUUUUUUGUUUUGCUAUUUAUGAACUAACAGAGGGUUUAUUGUGCCUGCUUCAGUUCAGAAUUGUUAGUUCAUUAUAAUGAGUUCAUGGCUUUUUCUGGCAUAGUUUGUUUUCUUAAUACUGUUCUCAUCCAACUGAAAUUUACUGCUGAGGUAGAGUGAAAUCCUAAUCCCCCUGUGCCGGCCAGGUGUACACAGGAGAUAGUUCAGAGUGAUGGUUUGGGGGAUAGAAUCCUCCACUCUCCCUCCACCCCAAAACUCAGAAGCUGGUGGUGAAGAAUCUGAGUAGCUGGACUGCUGUUGCUAUAGCCCACUGGCCUGCUGUUCUCUUCCUAUAUCUGCUGCAGCUUUCCCCUCUGCAACACCUUUACUUCCUGUGCCCAUCCAGCACACCCAUAGCCUCCCAUUCUGUGCUCCUGUGGGGAGAAAUGCUGAAGAACGUAGUUCCAUGGCACAAGGGCCAUGGAUCUCUGCAUAUCCCUUCCUCUUCCUCGCUCACUCAUGUAUGGUUCUGUUGCUUUAAAUUUGUCCCAUUCUUCUUCCUGGAGGUUUUAACCUAUAGAGAAUUUAUUUAAAUAUAUUUCACCUUCUGAUAAGACAUUCAAACAAGAUUAUCUUAAAACAUCCUGACUCUUUCUGUUAUUAUGCAUGAGGAUCCUUUAUUAAAGCGUGUGUUUUUUCUUGUAACAUUAGCACUGAUUAAAAAAAAUAAAUAAACUGCUUCACCCUGCCCAUUAGCAUAUUGCUUCAUAAUCCUGUCAAUAUAUUCCUGCAUACACAGGCAGAAACUGCCAAAACAGGCUUCUGGGUUGGGAGGUUAGUUGCAUACAAGACCUAAUUUAAGGCCUAAUUAAAGAAGCAUUUGUCUACUGUUGAAUUUUUCUUUCUAAUUUUGAUUUUUCUCCUAUUACUUGAUGCUAUGUGAAUAAUGAACAGAGAAAUAGGAUCUUCCUGAUUACUACUUCACCAAAAUAGAAAUAGUAUAAUAUAAUAAGAAAAGAAUAGCAGUUUGGUGGAUGACCUGCAUCUGGCCACAGAAUGAAAGUUCAGAGUCCGACUGUCUGACUGAAUGCUUCUGAAGACUCAAAUUCAGGUUUCCAUGCUUUCCCUGCAAGAGUUGAUGAGACACUUAAAUCAGGGUGCAGAAUUCAGCCUCUUGAACCACUUCAGGUGUCACUUGAUCUUGCAGGACUGGAGUCUUCAUUGGCAGAUUUCAGUGUAUGGAGAAUCCCCCAUGUCCCUUGAUCUGGUUGGCUGGGAGCUUUGAAAAGGAAAGACUCAUUCCUCUAAGAUGGAAAGUUAGCAUUGUUAUCGUGGCACCUUACUAACAACAACAGUGUGAUCUUAGAACAGCUUCAGAGUUGUUGUGAAGGAAGAGCUCCUGCAACAGUAGCUGUGAGAGGUGUGCACGGCCCUGUUCAUCUCUGUUAAAUAUUGUCAGAUGCCCCAAAUGAUCAUAUAAAUGCCAACUAUGCUAACUAUUUCAUUGCUCCAGUAACAAAGGAGGAGGAAUCACAGAUCUGCACAAUACAUUAUGAGCGACAUCUCAUUUUGACUGCCACAAAGGGUGGCAUUUGGUAGUUGCCACAACUUUUUUCCCCCUCCAAUCAGAAAGGAACCAAGCAAAGCCAAUGGGCAUAUUGAAGCCUGCAGGAGGGGGAGCCAAGCUCCAGGAGCCCAGAGGAACUCAGAUGGUAGCACACAAUGCUAUUUUAAACAUCAACCCAACUUACUGCGACCACCACCAUCUGCUCUGCUCACAUGGGCAGAACUGAUAUUGUGGGCGAAGCUUAGACUAGUACCAUCACCUUUUCCCCCCCUUUCAAUUCAACCCCUCACUGAAAGAUGAUACUGAAAAAUCAGACCACUGGCUUUCUCAUGAGUUAGUAGGACAGCAUCCGUAAACAGCGGAAGGAAAACAGCAACCAGCUCUAUGGAGAACAUUUUACAUUUUUGGAAGGUGUUAACAUUAAUUUUUAAAUUUGGGUGUGUGCGGCAAUGGGGGGGUUAGACACUUCUGGGGGUGUUUAACCUUUAAAUGCAAUUGCCAUUUAUACAUGUUUCUAUGACUGGAGAAUCCCUGAAAGUGGAAAUAAAAUAACAUGGAAUAAUAA